GCUGGCAGCCCUACUUUAUAGGGAAAUGUUUACGAUCGGCACGCCGGCCGAACGUUCAGCCGGACGCUCGCUGUGCGUUAGAUCCAUAUGGAUGGAACGCAUCAGCUCGACCUUUUCUGGGUCUAUGCACCGCUUUUAGCCAGCCUUAUCUUCUCAGUUCUCACCAGAACACCGUCCUCCACUCGUUUUCUUUCCUGUCUCUCCUUCGUUCUUCCCAAAUCGAUCCCUUUUUAGCUCCCCUCGCCAUGAACUCCACACCACCAUGGAUGCAGCCUUCAAGCACCCCCCCUCCCUCCCCUCUCUACCUCCCUACUGAAGCGCGUCCUCACCACCUAGGUGGCGACGAGCUGCUCUGUGCCCUCCCCCGUCCCUGUGAGCUUGAGGCGACGGCGCUCGCACACCAUGCGGACGUGACACCAUUUUUUUGCAAGACGCCAUACUUCUUGCUAUGACUUUGUUUUUUAUUUUUAGCUGGUUGCAACUUUUUGAUUUGUCGGUUCCAGCUUUUUAUUUUGCCGGUUGUAGCAAUUUCAUCCAUGAGCAUCAAUCUUUGAUUCGUUGGUUCCAACAUUUUUUCCCAUCGGCAGUAGCUUUUCACUUUGCUGGUUCCAACUUUUGAUUUCGCCGGUCACAACAACCCCCCUUUUUCGAGAGUAGCAAAUCUUUGAUUCAUAGGUUGUAGCAUUUUAUUUCGUCAAUAGUAGCUUUUUGCUGGAGGAAGGGGAUCGAUGAAGAAUUUUUUGGCUACAACCAUGUACCACAGAAGCUUCAACCAUGUGUGCUGCGAGCUGUGUACACUAGAGCUACAACCGGAGACGCCCGUCGCCGACGAGGCUGCAACCAGCACGGGCGGUGCAACCGGUGUCCAGCGAGCUGCAAGCGACACAACGGCAAGCUUCAAACCUUGUGGGUCACCAUGCCGGUGAUGGUGACCAUACCGGUGAGGGGAGCUGCAACCAUGGUGGUGAGGUGUUGGAACCGUCUUUUAUUUUUGCUACGACCAGCCACAUGUUUUGCUACAUUUCGGUGACGGAGAUCCAUGGUUUUGCUGGAACUGGCAUUUGUUUUUGCUGGAACCGGCUAAAAUUUUGAUCCAACUGACUUUUUUUGGUUUUCUUAGUUGCUCAGAUUGUUUUUUUGCUGGAACAUAGUGCUGCAAAAUUGACGAUGACGGUGAGCCGGCGGCGGCGACGCCAUGCUUCCAUGGGGUGCGCGAUCUGCUGGAACCGGCUUUGGCCGCAAGCUCCAGUAGGCUUUCAGUGGAGCUGCAUCUCACAGAUCGAUGGGUGGCGCUGGGAACGACGGUGAGAUUGGAAGGGCAUGUGACAAUGGCAACGGCGAGCGGCGGCGAGGUGCAGCGAGCUGUGUGGACGGACGUGGAGGACGAUGGGGCGGCGACCACGCCGUGCGUGGAGCGAGCGGGAGGCUGUGCGCGUGUAAAUCGCUAGUUGUUUUAGGAUAGAAAAGAAGGAGUCAACGGCUGUUAGUUGCCAGAUCAGACGUCUGCGGUGCGACCGGCCGAAAUUUCGGCCGGCGCACCGACGCCUAUCACUCGCCUACUUUAUAAGGCUGCCUAAUUUAUUGAUCAAACUUUUAGCUGUUCACGUCUGAUUCACUCGGUCAAACUUUGUUUUAUUGAGCGGACAAACUUUUUUUAAUAGGACAAACAUGUGACUUGAAUGAAAGAUGUGUCAGAACAAUUUUCAUGUGUCACGCCAAAUUGGUUGUACAUAACUUUAUUUGUAUGUAACGCUGUAUCUUUAAAUCUUCACGGUUAAUAUAUAGAAUUGAUGGCC
rnacentral:rRNA from 1 species